GACGAACGCUGGCGGCGUGCUUAACACAUGCAAGUCGAACGGUAAGGCCCUUCGGGGUACACGAGUGGCGAACGGGUGAGUAACACGUGGGUGAUCUGCCCUGCACUUCGGGAUAAGCCUGGGAAACUGGGUCUAAUACCGGAUAGGACCACUGCCUGCAUGGGUGGUGGUGGAAAGCUUUUGCGGUGUGGGAUGGGCCCGCGGCCUAUAAGCUUGGUGGUGGGGUGAUGGCCUACCAAGGCGACGACGGGUAGCCGGCCUGAGAGGGUGACCGGCCCCACUGGGACUGAGAUACGGCCCAGACUCCUACGGGAGGCAGCAGUGGGGAAUAUUGCACAAUGGGCGCAAGCCUGAUGCAGCGACGCCGCGUGAGGGAUGACGGCCUUCGGGUUGUAAACCUCUUUCAGCACCGACGAAGCGCAAGUGACGGUAGGUGCAGAAGAAGGACCGGCCAACUACGUGCCAGCCGCCGCCGUAA
rnacentral:rRNA from 1 species